rnacentral:rRNA from 1 species
UACGUAGGGGGCUAGCGUUGUCCGGAAUCAUUGGGCGUAAAGGGCGCGUAGGCGGGCUAUCAAGUCCGGGGUGAAAUCCUCCAGCUCAACUGGAGAACGGCCUCGGAUACUGAUGGUCUCGAGGAGGAUAGGGGCACACGGAACUGUGGGUGGAGCGGUGAAAUGCGUUGAUAUCCAUAGGAACUCCGGUGGCGAAAGCGGUGUGCUGGAUCCUUUCUGACGCUGAGGCGCGAAAGCCAGGGGAGCAAACGGG